GCUAGGGUUUCGUGGGCGCACGGGAGGAGCACGGGAGGGAGUACUGGGAGGGAGAAGCUAGGCAUGGGCAUGGAGAGUAAUUUUUCUAGGUGGGUUUCACAUGUAAGAGGUUAGUUUUUAACAGAAGGUGGAUGGAAUGACAUGUAUAUAAAUAAAAGUUAGGUUUAUGGUAGACAUGUGUCUAUCAAAUUUUUUGUAACACACAAAUAAGCAUCAACUUUUUAAUGGCAUAGGCGUAAAAGACUCUCACCGUCACUGUCACCGUCACUGUGUUCGUUCAUUUCGUUGGUUUUUCGCGGACAAACUUCGCAGACUGUUAUUCUAUCUUUUAUGUCUU
rnacentral:lncRNA from 1 species